rnacentral:rRNA from 1 species
UACGUGGGCAGCGAGCGUUGUUCGGAAUUACUGGGCGUAAAGAGUGUGUAGGCGGUGCUCUAAGUUCGGUGUGAAAUCUCCCGGCUUAACUGGGAGGGUGCGCCGGAAACUGGAGUGCUCGAGCGUGGGAGAGGAAAGCGGAAUUCCUGGUGUAGCGGUGAAAUGCGUAGAUAUCAGGAGGAACACCUGCGGUGUAGACGGCUUUCUGGACCAUUGCUGACGCUGAGACCCGAAAUCGUGGGUAGCAAACAGG